UACGGAAGGUCCAGGCGUUAUCCGGAUUUAUUGGGUUUAAAGGGAGCGUAGGCUGGAGAUUAAGUGUGUUGUGAAAUGUAGACGCUCAACGUCUGAAUUGCAGCGCAUACUGGUUUCCUUGAGUACGCACAACGUUGGCGGAAUUCGUCGUGUAGCGGUGAAAUGCUUAGAUAUGACGAAGAACUCCGAUUGCGAAGGCAGCUGACGGGAGCGCAACUGACGCUUAAGCCCGAAGGUGCGGGUAUCAAACAGGAUUAGAUACCCUGGUAGUCAAGGGCG
rnacentral:rRNA from 1 species